GCCACCGUAGCUCAACGGUAGAGCAGCCGCUUCGUAAGCGGCAGGUUAAGGGUUCAAAUCCCUUCGGUGGCU
rnacentral:tRNA from 1 species